GACGAACGCUGGCGGCGUGCUUAACACAUGCAAGUCGAACGGAAAGGCCCUGCUUUUGUGGUUUGCUCGUUUGGCGAACGCGUGAGUAACACGUGUGUAACCUGCCCUUUACUUUGGGAUAUCUUCAGGAAACUUGGGCUCAUACCGCAUAUGAGCUCCAGCUUCAUGGUGGGUGUUGGAAAGUUUCGGCGGUUGGUGAUGGACUCGCGGCUUCUCAGCGUGUUGGUGGGGGAGUGGCUUACCAAGGCUUAGACGGGUGGCCGACCUGAGAGGGUUAACGGGCACAUUGGGACUGAGAUACGGACCAGACUCGUACGGGAGGCAACAGUGGGGAAUAUUGCAGAAUGGGGGGAAGCCUGAUGCAGAAACGCCGGGGGCGGGAUGACGGCCUUCGAGUUGUAAACCGCUAACGCAUGUGACGAAGCGAGAGUGACGGUAAUGAGUAAAGAAGCAACGGCUAACUACGUG
rnacentral:rRNA from 1 species